rnacentral:lncRNA from 1 species
GUCUAAAUAUAAGAGUACAAUUAAGAGAAAUGCAUUCCUUUUCCUUAGGAAAACUUCCGUGAUGCACGGACACUUCUUACUCAGCAAGUUUAAUUGUUGCCUCUUUAAGGAAGAUUUCAUUUCCCCAGAGCUGAGGCAGAGGGAUGAUGCUAGGAGUCUGGUAAGCCCCUAAGAGUGAGAGAUAUGGCAUUUUUGUGGACAGAGAGACCUUACAGGACCAGCACUUCUCUUUCCCAAGAGGGUUGUGCUCUUCUGCAGUUUUAGAACAUGGUCCCCCUGUGAUUGCCUGGGACCUUCCUCCCAGGCGGGAGCUCACUUAAUCUGAUCUAACCUAAACUAUAGCUAUCAGGGUGUGAGGAACACCAUCUUCUAAAAAAAAUUAUUUCUUAUUAUAACCGCUUUUACUCUACAAAUUAAUGUGAUUCAUUAUAUUCAUUAAUAAAUGUUUCUUUAAUAAUGUCCACCACUCAACUUUCUUAGCCUUUUUUACCUUCUUUUCUCCAAAUCUGUAAUAAGCCAGAUCUACUUUCAGGCCACCCCUCCCCAACUCUGUGCCCACCGCUGCCACCCCCACCCUCCCCCUGACUAUUGUUUUGUUUCCGUGUAAGAAUGUAAACUUCUCUUUCUGUGUGGAAACACUUUCAGCCCAGGGUGCCAUGCUCAUCCCAGAUGGACCCAAGACACCCAUUUCUUCAUUCGCAACAAAGAGUGAGCUAACAUCUAGGGAAUGCAGUUGGACUUCAUAGAAGAAUAAUAUCAGGGGACUUGGGCUCCAGCCCUAGCUCCGUUAUUCAGUGAAGCUCAGAGAUUGUUAAUGAUCAUGGUGCGUCCAAGUUCUCUGAGCUAAAUCUACAACUGGUCAAUCGACGGGAAUUGGAUCGCACUCUUCAAGGUCCUUUGAACUCUAACAUUUUGUGUCUGAGUGUGAUAUAUGGUGACCUUCCAAUGCUCUCAAGUAUUUGCCUAUUUUGUCUAAUUUCCUCUCUUAUACCCCAUUUUCUGUAGAGGAUUUUGAAGGGCUUAGACUGGUGGCACAUAAAGCCACUAGUUUUCAGAAUAAGAAAACACUUCCUUGAGCAUUUUGCUUAUAGUUUAUGACAUAAUUUUAAUUUUAAAAUCAAGUAAGAAUGACAGGAUUCUUAAAGCCUGGUGUGGUAAUGUAUACCCUUAAUUCCAGCACUCUGGAAACAGAGAUAGGUAGGUCUAUAUGAGUUCCAGGUAAGCCUGGUUUACAUAGUGAGUUCCAGGUCAGGCAAGACUACCUACUGAAAUUCUGUUUCACAAAACAAAACAAUAAAACAGUAACGACAGGAUACAGAGUGUAGAGUGUCUGAGAGCUCAGAAUGUCCAACUCUAUGCAUAUGCUAGAAAAUGAUCUUCCAUGAGAAGAUGCUGUGCCCUGGGUAUGUGAUGGAACCAUGCUGGUGUUAUCUCUGGACAUGUGUUUACAGCAUGCUCAGUGAAGAGUGGUACCCUCAGAAGCAUAGCUGGAUAGGAAGAUGUGAGAUGAAAGCAUGAAGGGAAAUAGAUCUACACAAUAGGCUAGCUUUCUGUCAACAUGCCCAAGGUAUAGUCUCUGUUUCAUAUGAUGAUGAUGAUGACGGUGAUGAUGAUAAUGAUAAUGAUAUAAACAUUUUCCUGCCCUUUGGUAUUGCUCUCAUUUGUCCUUAAAUACAGUUAAUUACUUUUGAAUAUAGCUAGAAUCUUACAUUUAAAGUAUUUCUUUCCACUCAAGUAGCACC